UGGGGAAUCUUCCGCAAUGGGCGCAAGCCUGACGGAGCAACGCCGCGUGAGUGAAGAAGGUCUUCGGAUCGUAAAGCUCUGUUGAUGGGGACGAACGUGCCUAAUGCGAAUAGUAUUAGGUAAUGACGGUACCCAUCGAGGAAGCCACGGCUAACUACGUGCCAGCAGCCGCGGUAAUACGUAGGUGGCGAGCGUUGUCCGGAAUCAUUGGGCGUAAAGGGAGCGCAGGCGGGCAUGUAAGUCUUUCUUAAAAGUGCGGGGCUCAACCCCGUGAUGGGAAAGAAACUAUGUGUCUUGAGUACAGGAGAGGAAAGCGGAAUGCCCAGUGUAGCGGUGAAAUGCGUAGAUAUUGGGAGGAACACCAGUGGCGAAGGCGGCUUUCUGGACUGCAACUGACGCUGAGGCUCGAAAGCCAGGGGAGCGAACGGG
rnacentral:rRNA from 1 species